GAAGCAAUAACAUACAGGGCAUUGUCUUGUAAUUGGAAUGAUGGUGACGUAAAAUCUCACCAGAGUAACAAUUGGAGGGCAAGUCUGGUGCCAGCAGCCGCGGUAAUUCCAGCUCCAAUAGCGUAUAUUAAACUUGUUGCAGUUAAAAAGCUCGUAGUUGAAUUUCUGCGUUGCCCGACUCGGCUACUUGCCUUGUCUGGUUUCGCUUUUGGGGUUUUCCCCUUUUUACUUUGAGAAAAUUAGAGUGUUUCAAGCAGACUUGUGUCUUGAAUACUUCAGCAUGGAAUAAUAAAGUAGGACUUUGGUUCUAUUUUGUUGGUUUGUGAACCUUAGUAAUGGUUAAUAGGAACGGUUGGGGGCAUUCGUAUUUAAA
rnacentral:rRNA from 1 species